CUGAUGUCAGAUGUAAUGUACAUCCCUACCAGAGAUUCGUACAUUUUACUUCAUGCCAUUUGUAACCUUCAAUGUUUUCAUUCCUAGCGACUGUGAAGUGCGCACUUCGUAAUCGCCAUUUUUUUGUGGAAGCGAAGCAAUUCGGAGAUAUUCCGAAAUAUACUCAUUUUGGACGACGUUUCUUCUAUUCUACUACUGAUAGAAGCAUUUCCAUUUGCGAUCAAUCGUAAACGAACAUUUUACAACAGCCAUGAUUCGAUGCUAAUAUUUGGCGACUAUAUAACUAUACAAACUAGGGAAAGGAAGAACCAAUAACGAUUCACCAUCCGGAGGAUGACAUGGAACAUGAAGAACGUCAGAACUGUCGAUUGAAGGCAGUUUGACAUAUGCUUUGACCAUUCAGUUGCUGUAACAUUAGUUGUACAGUAAGUGCACAUCACACAAGAACCGAUUACGUGCUCUGUGCAAUCAUCAGGAUCUGUUCCAGGAGGAGAGUGUUGAAUUUGAUACUGGAAAGCAUCGACAAAAUCAAUGUCUUAUCGUCACUAGGUUCCAUGGUUUCCUCCUGGCUAAUGAUGAAAAAGUUGGGAGUCGAUAUCCGGAUAUCUGUUCCAACUACUAGCGGUUAUCAUCAAGGAAAACUCAGUUUGCUAACUCAAAUCAUUUUAAUUGGCUCAUCCCCCAUCUUGGAACGCAAGCAGCUAGUAAGGACUCCGGAUCGAUUCGUAAAUAUCUCGCCUCUCGAGAACCAUAAUCGUGCUCCGAUGAUUUUAUAUGUGUUGUGUUCACUGUGCGUUGGUAAUGGUCGGUAUGGUUGGUUGGUCGGUAAUCCUAAUAUCCUCGUUCAUCGUGUUGAGGAAUCUGGGGUGUACCAGAAGUGUUACUUUGAAAUUACUAUGGACCAUAACGGACAAACGUGCACAAACAUGACACCGCCUUUGCGAAUUAAUUGGGCCAAUACUGCUGAAUAUGUUGAGGAUGUAAAAAUGGGGCGAAAAUGACGUUGGUAAUAAUUUGUAUACUCAUGAUUCCGGACGUGACAAAACUAUUCAUCGCAAAAGGAAUGGAAUUGCACGCUAGAUCUCAGCGUCUCGGUGAUACGGUUUAUGUUCAAUGGAGAGCCAAUGCAUGUUUGAUUUUAAUCUAACUGGAAUGUUUUUUUCCGGUGAUGAGCUGCUCGUCGAAGCUAAGUUGUCAAUUUUAUUUUGGUUUCCGCGUUUCUGUCUGCGAUAUUGAACCCUAAGAUGGAAGAAUUCGGCGAUCUGCUGGUCGAGAGCACUCACAACUUGUGAGACAAAGAGCGAAUUCAACAAAGUUAAACAAAGACAACGAAAACCAUCGUAGCUCCCAUUCAGUUCCGUACAGCAUAUACGGCUAUGGCGACUAUCAGAAAGCUGUUGAUCUAUGGAUACAAUUUGGACCAACAAACUGGUGAGACGAAUGAGCCCCUUGCGGCGGAAGCAUUCAGACAGAACUUCGCAACCAUCAGAACGCACCUAGCGGAGAAGACGUAUGCUGUUAUGUCAAGAAAGACAUACUUUUAGUUUGAGGACUGCAAUUCCGAAACGAUGUUGGGGAAUGAUGAUCCAUCGUGUGCUUUUGAUGGCUACAAUAUAAGCAUGAGCACAAAUAUCGAAUCCGAUUGUUCAAUACGACCAAUCACGACCCCUCAAUUCAAUGUAGUCGUUCUGUUACAAGAAAACAAGCCCCAAAUUCCUACUGAAGACACAUUUCUACUGCCUCACCAAGAGCAAAUCACAUAGAUGGUUGCCGAAAAAUUUCAAAUGUAAGUUUAUAUGAACCCCCUUCUUCAAAAUCUGGGGCAUUCCAGAGCGUCACAAUUAAAUGGGCAAGUAAACUACACCUGCGCAGGGUCGAAGAUUUCGGUAGGCGAUACCUGGUCGGAGACGUAAUCGUUUUCUUCAUAAAUAUCCACGACAAGAUCAGCACGAGAGGAAUAAAUACGAACUAAGAGUACUAGGUACUGGUGUCAUCGACUUCCUGCUAAUCAGCGCCCCAUGCUCUAGAGGCAGCGAUGCAGUAGAAGGAGUUAUUGCGACGAGAAUUAUUGUUGUUUUCAUAUUUUACAAUGUUUUUUUUUAUU